AUUGAACGCUGGCGGCAGGCCUAACACAUGCAAGUCGAACGAGUGGCGGACGGGUGAGUAAUGUAUGGGGAUCUGCCUGAUGGCGGGGGCUAACUACUGGAAACGUUAGCUAAUACCGCAUACCAUCAGAUGAACCCAUAUGGGAUUAGCUAGUUGGUACGGUAACGGCUUACCAAGGCGACGAUCCCUAGCUGGGCUGAGAGGAUGAUCAGCCACACUGGAACUGAGACACGGUCCAGACUCCUACGGGAGGCAGCAGUGGGGAAUAUUGCACAAUGGGCGCAAGCCUGAUGCAGCCAUGCCGCGUGUAUGAAGAAGGCCUUCGGGUUGUAAAGUACUUUCAGCGGGGAGGCGUUACCGGCAGAAGAAGCACCGGCUAACUCCGUGCCAGCAGCCGCGGUAAUAC
rnacentral:rRNA from 1 species